GGCUCCAUGUCCUUUGCAAAUAUGGAGUCGGACCUGCCCGGUGAUUUUUUUAACGGCCGCGGUACCCUGACCGUGCGAAGGUAGCAUAAUAAUUUGCCUUAUAAUUGAAGGCUGGCAUGAACGGUUUGACAAGAACGGAACUGUCUCUUUACGGUUAAUUAGAAUUUUAUCUAUAAGUGAAAAAGCUUAUAUAUUAUUGAUAGACAAGAAGACCCUACGAACUUUAAAGGAGUUGCAAUGCUAAAUUGCUUUGAUUUUGGUUGGGGCGACCAAGGAACAGAUAAAGCUUCCUCACUUAUGCAAGACCUGCACGUUAUGAUCCAAAACGUUUGAUCUGUGGAAUUAGUUCCGUAGGGAUAACAGCAUAAUCCUUUUAGAGAGCCCUUAUCGAAAAAGGGGUUUGUGACCUCGAUGUUGGACCAGGACAUCCUGAAGAUGCAGCAGUCUUCAAGGGUUGGUCUGUUCGACCAUUAAAGUCCUACGCGAUCUGAGUUCAGACCGGCGUGAGCCAGGUCAGUUUCUAUCUUCAAUUUCCUCUAAUAAACUCAGUACGAAAGGACCUGUUUAUUUUAAUUUUUAGUUAAAAAGAGGUUGUAUAAUUGUCCUUUAUCAAGUUAGCAGAAAAAAUGCAAUUGACUUAGGAUCAAUAGGUAUGGGUUUUCCUUACUUGAUAAAGGUGGCAGACAA
rnacentral:rRNA from 1 species